rnacentral:tRNA from 3 species
GGGCUCAUAGCUCAGCUGGUUAGAGCGUCACAUUGACAUUGUGAAGGUCAGAGGUUCGAGUCCUCUUGGGCCCA